GACGAACGCUGGCGGCGUGCCUAAUACAUGCAAGUCGAACGCUGAAGGAGGAGCUUGCUUCUCUGGAUGAGUUGCGUACGGGUGAGUAACGCGUAGGUAACCUGCCUGGUAGCGGGGGAUAACUAUUGGAAACGAUAGCUAAUACCGCAUAAUAGUAGAUGUCGCAUGACAUUUGCUUAAAAGUUGCAAUUGCAUCACUACCAGAUGGACCUGCGUUGUAUUAGCUAGUUGGUGAGGUAACGGCUCACCAAGGCAACGAUACAUAGCCGACCUGAGAGGGUGAUCGGCCACACUGGGAAUGGGAAAACGCCCAGAAUCCUACGGGAGGCAGCAGGAGGGAAUCUUCGGCAAUGGACGGAAGUCUGACCGAGCAACGCCGCGGGAGGGAAGAAGGGUUUCGGAUCGUAAAGCUCUGUUGUAAGGGAAGAACGAGUGUGAGAGUGGAAAGUUCACACUGUGACGGUAUCUUACCAGAAAGGGACGGCUAACUACGUG
rnacentral:rRNA from 1 species